rnacentral:rRNA from 1 species
UACGAAGGGUGCAAGCGUUACUCGGAAUUACUGGGCGUAAAGGGCUCGUAGGCGGCCAACUAAGUCAGACGUGAAAUCCCCAGGCUCAACCUGGGAACUGCGUCUGAUACUGGAUGGCUUGAAUCCGGGAGAGGGAUGCAGAAUUCCAGGUGUAGCGGUGAAAUGCGUAGAUAUCUGGAGGAACACCGGUGGCGAAGGCGGCGUUCUGGACUGCAACUGACGCUGAGGCGCGAAAGCUAGGGGAGCAAACGGG